rnacentral:lncRNA from 1 species
UAUACUUACAUCUAGGAUUUGUGUUAAGAACCAAUAGAACGCACGUCCAGUGAUUGAUGUCCGUUCAUAUGGACUUAUACUUACAUGAACUUACAUCGAGGAUUUGUGUUGGGAAACAAUAUAGCGCAACACAUGUUGCUGAGGUCAGCCGAAUGUUUAGAUAUAUAAACUGUGUCGUUUUCUAACGAGGAGCGACUUCUCCGAUGCCACUAUACGCACAGUGUCUCUCACAUACAUUGUAAAAUAAUGUAAUAAAAGUUUGUCAAAUUAUCUAGUGUUAGUGUUACACUAGUAAUUUUUGGUGCCGUGACCAGGAUUCGUCAAUGACGUCUGCUACAAAUUUUGAAGGUAUGUCUAUAUUUUGAAUUGUUUUGGUGAGAUUAUGGCUGACCAGCAAGUGGGGGAAAUAUUCCAGGCUUUGGCCCACACCCUGGGGCAGUUAUCAGAUUCUAUUGGGAAUCAAGGUCAUAACCAGCAGGCUUUCUCGGCUCAAGUCGAGCAUUUAUCAAAUACCGUGGGCACGCAAAGUGUUUCACAAGUUAUUCCAUCUUUUGGGGGAACCCAAAGGAGUUUCAAGAAUGGAUCAAGAAAUAGUAAAAAUA